UACACAAAGAAUCAUCAAGUGAGGAUGAGGGAGAUGCAGCUGAUUUCAGGAAAGAUGAAGAGAGAUGGUACCUCGGAAAUCCUUCAAUAUCUGGAAAGGGCAGAUGAGAGGUUCCUGCAGCACAGCAAGGCAAUGGAUGAUGCCUUGUGUCAGGACAUGAGAGCGGACACACAAUCCCUGCUUGGACUCAUGGGGCGCAUGGUGGCCGUAUUGGAGGCACAAGUUAGAAAAUAAUUUUGGUUGCCGCUUUUCAUGUAAUUUUAUUUUAUUUUUUUACAAUUGUUUUAUUUUUUUAUAAGAUUUCUGUUAUUUUUUUGGGUAAACAAUUUGCAUAAUGUAAAUAUCUGGUCCAGUUUCUUAAACACUUAACAGGCAAAUUUUGCAUUAUGGUUUGUGUUUUUAAUGCAAUUUACUUUUAUAUAAAUGUGUACAUUAAACAGCCAAGUGAUGUGAUUAGCUGCAUAUACAAAUCUAUAUUAUUUCGACAUGAAAUAUGAUUAAAAUCCAAAUUACUUCAUGAUUGGUAGUUAAUAAAAACUUGGUUGGUUUUAAUCCCGGCCAGAAGUGUGAAAGGGUUGUUGAUUGAGGAUGAUUGAUAAAUGAUUCACAAAAUGCAAGUUUUAGAGAUUACAUGGUUCAUUUAAUGGAUGAGAAUGUAAUACAAUUCAAAAGUUUUGAUUUCAAUAAACACAAACUGCAGUGUUACAAAAUAUUGCAACAAAUAUAGCUUUGGUGUAUUCAAAGAAUCACUCAUUCCUUCUGUUAAAAUGCCUCAUUAAUGCAGCUCUGACGUCAGCCUCUUCUGUGUUUGUCUGAGCAGUAGGCUCUAUGUUUAGAGGCCUGUCUGGGUGCUCUACACUGAAAUUAUCACCAUGUUCCUCACAAAUGUUAUGGAGGACACAGCAGGUCAGUGCCAUCCUCUUGCUCAGCUCCAGCUUGCAGUCGUUUCUUUUUAAGAGGCACCUCCAUCGUCCUUUUAAUCUCCCAAAAGACAUCUCCACAACCGAUCGUGCACUGCUCAGCCUGUAAUUGUAUGUGUGCUGUUCAGGGGUCAGUCUGCCAGUGUCGCAAAAGGGCUUCAUGAGCCAAUUCUGCAUGGGAUAUGCCGGAUCACCAAUCAGGUAAUGUCCAACAUCACAGCCAGAGAUAGUCACUUUGUUUUGCCCUAGUAAUUCCCCGUCACUUAAGGACAGACUUCUGGUGAGACAGGCGGUGUGACUGCCAUUUAGUGGACAGAAACGAGACACGUAAUGUCAAACUCGACCACGUAGACUUUCAUCCUGCUGGUGAGAAGCUCAAAGGCCUUUGAAUCAAACAAAAGUAUUUAUUUGAAAGCUUAAGGAUAAAUAUUUGUUUCUUAUAUCAACCCCUGAACUCGGACAUACACAAGCAAAAUUCUCAAAAUAGGUUAUAUAUUUUGUAGAUGUUUAUUUUUUUUAGUUACAAGAAAAGCACAUUUAUUAAUUUUUUUGCUUUUCAAAGAAAUCAGGGUUAUUUACACUUGUUUCCUGGAGAUAGGGCCUAAAAGACAAAAAUAAAAACAUUCAAACACAUCAGAGCCAUCAAAUAUAUGCGUCUCAUUAAUAACAAAAAAAAGAAGCUAAAUACACUGAUUAGCCAGGCUGGACAGUGGUUUGUUUUUUUGAUGAAAAUGACAAUUGCUUGUGGGAUCAUGUCGUCCCGAGACCUACACCGAGGUUGUUGAGGCUCGUUGGAGCCACGUUAACUGGGCUGUUAAAGUCGGCCGGG